rnacentral:rRNA from 1 species
ACGCUAGCUACAGGCUUAACACAUGCAAGUCGAGGGGCAGCAUGUUGGUUGCUUGCAACCAAUGAUGGCGACCGGCGCACGGGUGAGUAACGCGUAUCCAACCUACCCAAUACUCAGGCAUAACCCGUUGAAAGACGGACUAAUUCCUGAUGGUAUGUAUUUCUCUCAUGAGUUAUACAUUAAAGAAUUUCGGUAUUGGAUGGGGAUGCGUCUGAUUAGUUUGUUGGUGGGGUAACGGCUCACCAAGACUUCGAUCAGUAGGGGUUCUGAGAGGAAGGUCCCCCACAUUGGAACUGAGACACGGUCCAAACUCCUACGGGAGGCAGCAGUGAGGAAUAUUGGUCAAUGGAUGGAAAUCUGAACCAGCCAAGUAACGUGCAGGAUGACGGCCCUAUGGGUUGUAAACUGCUUUUAUGUGAGAAUAAAGUUAGGUAUGUAUACUUAUUUGCAUGUAUCACAUGAAUAAGGACCGGCUAAUUCCGUGCCAGCAGCCGCGGUAAUACGGAAGGUCCAGGCGUUAUCCGGAUUUAUUGGGUUUAAAGGGUGCGUAGGCCGUUUGAUAAGCGUGCUGUGAAAUAUAGUGGCUCAACCUCUAUCGUGCAGCGCGAACUGUUGAACUUGAGUGCGUAGUAGGUAGGCGGAAUUCGUGGUGUAGCGGUGAAAUGCUUAGAUAUCACGAAGAACUCCGAUUGCGAAGGCAGCUUACCGUAACGUUACUGACGCUUAAGCACGAAGGUGCGGGUAUCGAACAGGAUUAGAUACCCUGGUAGUCCGCACAGUAAACGAUGGAUGCUCGCUGUUGGCCUUUAAUGGUCAGUGGCUUAGCGAAAGCGUUAAGCAUCCCACCUGGGGAGUACGCCGGCAACGGUGAAACUCAAAGGAAUUGACGGGGGCCCGCACAAGCGGAGGA